AUUUGUUGAUUUCAAAGCCGCCUUCGACAGCAUGAAGAUAAGUUGUCUUUAUGGCGCGAUGUCUGAAUUUGGUAUCCCCGCGAUACUAAUACGGCUGUGUAAAAUUACCU